UCAGGACGAACGCUGGCGGCGUGCUUAACACAUGCAAGUCGAACGGAAAGGCCCUUUCGGGGGUGCUCGAGUGGCGAACGGGUGAGUAACACGUGGGUGAUCUGCCCUGCACUUUGGGAUAAGCCUGGGAAACUGGGUCUAAUACCGAAUACACCCUGCUGGUCGCAUGGCCUGGUGGGGGAAAGCUUUUGCGGUGUGGGAUGGGCCCGCGGCCUAUCAGCUUGUUGGUGGGGUGAUGGCCUACCAAGGCGACGACGGGUAGCCGGCCUGAGAGGGUGUCCGGCCACACUGGGACUGAGAUACGGCCCAGACUCCUACGGGAGGCAGCAGUGGGGAAUAUUGCACAAUGGGCGCAAGCCUGAUGCAGCGACGCCGCGUGAGGGAUGACGGCCUUCGGGUUGUAAACCUCUUUCAGCACAGACGAAGCGCAAGUGACGGUAUGUGCAGAAGAAGCACCGGCCAACUACGUGCCAGCAGCCGCGGUAAUACGUAGGGUGCGAGCGUUGUCCGGAAUUACUGGGCGUAAAGAGCUCGUAGGUGGUUUGUCGCGUUGUUCGUGAAAACCGGGGGCUUAACCCUCGGCGUGCGGGCGAUACGGGCAGACUGGAGUACUGCAGGGGAGACUGGAAUUCCUGGUGUAGCGGUGGAAUGCGCAGAUAUCAGGAGGAACACCGGUGGCGAAGGCGGGUCUCUGGGCAGUAA
rnacentral:rRNA from 1 species